rnacentral:tRNA from 1 species
GGCGGCAUAGCCAAGUGGUAAGGCGAAGGUCUGCAAAACCUUUACACAUCGGUUCGAAUCCGAUUGCCGCCU